rnacentral:rRNA from 1 species
CAGCAGCCGCGGUAAUACGAAGGGGGCUAGCGUUGCUCGGAAUUACUGGGCGUAAAGGGAGCGUAGGCGGACAUUUAAGUCAGGGGUGAAAUCCCAGAGCUCAACUCUGGAACUGCCUUUGAUACUGGGUGUCUUGAGUGUGAUAGAGGUAUGUGGAACUCCGAGUGUAGAGGUGAAAUUCGUAGAUAUUCGGAAGAACACCAGUGGCGAAGGCGACAUACUGGAUCAUUACUGACGCUGAGGCUCGAAAGCGUGGGGAGCAAACAGGAUUAGAUACCCUGGUAGUCCACGCUGUAAACGAUGAGUGCUAGUUGUCGGCAUGCAUGCAUGUCGGUGACGCAGCUAACGCAUUAAGCACUCCGCCUGGGGAGUACGGUCGCAAGAUUAAAACUCAAAGGAAUUGACGG